AGUGAACGCUGGCGGUAGGCCUAACACAUGCAAGUCGAACGGCAGCACAGUAAGAGCUUGCUCUUACGGGUGGCGAGUGGCGGACGGGUGAGGAAUACAUCGGAACCUACUUUUUCGUGGGGGUUAACGUAGGGAAACUUACGCUAAUACCGCAUACGACCUACGGUUGAAAGCAGGGGAUCUUCGGACCUUUCGCGAUUGAAUGAGCCGAUGUCGGAUUAGCUAGUUGGCGGGGUAAAGGCCAACCAAGUCGACGAUCCGUAGCUGGUCUGAGAGGAUGAUCGUCGACACGGGAACUGAGACACGGUCCAGACGCCUACGGGAGGCAGCAGUGGGGAAUAUUGGACAAUGGGCGCAAGCCUGAUCCAGCGAUACCGCGUGGGUGGAAACGGCCUUCGGGUUGUGAAGCCCUUUUGUUGGGAAAGAAAAGCAGCCGGUUAAUACCCCGCUGUUCUGACGGUACCCAAAGAAUAAGCACCGGCUAACUUCGUG
rnacentral:rRNA from 1 species